rnacentral:rRNA from 1 species
UGGGGAAUAUUGCGCAAUGGGGGAAACCCUGACGCAGCGACGCCGCGUGCGGGAUGAAGGCCUUCGGGUUGUAAACCGCUUUUGAUUGGGAGCAAGCUUUCGGGUGAGUGUACCUUUCGAAUAAGCGCCGGCUAACUACGUGCCAGCAGCCGCGGUAAUACGUAGGGCGCAAGCGUUAUCCGGAAUUAUUGGGCGUAAAGGGUACGCAGGCGGUUUAAUAAGUCGAAUGUUAAAGAUCGGGGCUCAACCCCGUAAAGCAUUGGAAACUGAUAAACUUGAGUAGUGGAGAGGAAAGUGGAAUUCCUAGUGUAGUGGUGAAAUACGUAGAUAUUAGGAGGAAUACCAGUAGCGAAGGCGACUUUCUGGACACAAACUGACGCUGAGGUACGAAAGCGUGGGGAGCAAACAGG